AUUGAACGCUGGCGGCAGGCUUAACACAUGCAAGUCGAGCGGGGUGAUGGUGCUUGCACUAUCACUUAGCGGCGGACGGGUGAGUAAUGCUUAGGAAUCUGCCUAUUAGUGGGGGACAACAUCUCGAAAGGGAUGCUAAUACCGCAUACGUCCUACGGGAGAAAGCAGGGGAUCACUUGUGACCUUGCGCUAAUAGAUGAGCCUAAGUCGGAUUAGCUAGUGGGUGGGGUAAAGGCCUACCAAGGCGACGAUCUGUAGCGGGUCUGAGAGGAUGAGCCGCCACACUGGGACUGGGACACGGCCCAGACUCCUGCGGGAGGCAGCAGUGGGGAAUAUUGGACAAUGGGGGGAACCCUGAUCCAGCCAUGCCGCGUGUGUGAAGAAGGCCUUAUGGUUGUAAAGCACUUUAAGCGAGGAGGAGGCUCUUUUGGUUAAUACCCAAGAUGAGUGGACGUUACUCGCAGAAUAAGCACCGGCUAACUCUGUGCCAGCAGCCGCCGUAA
rnacentral:rRNA from 1 species